AGCAAGCCCAGCAGCCCCGGGGCGGAUGGCUCCGGCCGCCUGGCUCCACAGCGCGGCCCCGCGCGCCCUCCUGCUCCCGAUGCUGCUGCUGCUGCUCCAGCCGCCGCCGCUGCUGGCCCGGGCUCUGCCGCCGGACGCCCACCACCUCCAUGCUGAGUGGAGGGGGCCACAGCCCUGGCAUGCAGCCCUGCCCAGUAGCCCGGUGCCUGCCCCUGCCACGCAGGAGGCCCCCCGGCCUGCCAGCAGCCUCAGGCCUCCCCGCUGUGGUGUGCCCGACCCACCUGAUGGGCUGAGUGCCCGCAACCGACAGAAGAGGUUCGUGCUUUCUGGCGGGCGCUGGGAGAAGACGGACCUCACUUACAGGUAGGGGCCUGGGAGCAGGACACUAGGAUGCCACCUGUGUGUCCGUGGGUAAGCCAGCCGCCCUCACAGCUGCUGCUUGAGACACAGGCCGGGGUAGAUCUUCAUGUCUAACAGACCUGUGUGUCCACUGAACCCCAGGGAGGCCAUCUAUGGGCAAACACCCUGAAACCCCAAUUUAGACACACACACAUAUGGAGACCCUCCCUCAGCAGAGGGGCAGAGCCUCUGUCAUCAUGCAAAGAGUCCCAGCACAUGCCUGCGGAUGGGUGUUCAGUCACUCA
rnacentral:sRNA from 1 species